CCUACGGGAGGCAGCAGUGGGGAAUAUUGGACAAUGGGCGAAAGCCUGAUCCAGCCAUGCCGCGUGUGUGAAGAAGGCCUUCGGGUUGUAAAGCACUUUCAGUGGGGAAGAAAGCCUUGGGGCUAAUACCCUCGAGGAAGGACAUCACCCACAGAAGAAGCACCGGCUAACUCCGUGCCAGCAGCCGCGGUAAUACGGAGGGUGCGAGCGUUAAUCGGAAUUACUGGGCGUAAAGCGCGCGUAGGCGGUCUGAUAAGCCGGUUGUGAAAGCCCCGGGCUCAACCUGGGAACGGCAUCCGGAACUGUCAGGCUAGAGUGCAGGAGAGGAAGGUAGAAUUCCCGGGGUAGCAGUGAAAUGCGUAGAGAUCGGGAGGAAUACCAGUGGCGAAGGCGGCCUUCUGGACUGACACUGACGCUGAGGUGCGAAAGCGUGGGUAGCAAACAGGAUUAGAUACCCGAGUAGUC
rnacentral:rRNA from 1 species